rnacentral:rRNA from 1 species
GGACGAACGCUGGCGGCGUGCUUAACACAUGCAAGUCGAGCGGUAAGGCCCUUUCGGGGGUACGACGAGCGGCGAACGGGUGAGUAACACGUGGGUGACCUGCCCUCAGCUCUGGGAUAAGCCUGGGAAACCGGGUCUAAUACUGGAUAUGACUCCAUGACGCAUGUUGUGGGGUGGAAAGCCUUGUGCGGCUGAGGAUGGGCCCGCGGCCUAUCAGCUUGUUGGUGGGGUGANGGCCUACCAAGGCGACGACGGGUAGCCGGCCUGAGAGGGCGACCGGCCACACUGGGACUGAGACACGGCCCAGACUCCUACGGGAGGCAGCAGUGGGGAAUCUUGCGCAAUGGGCGAAAGCCUGACGCAGCGACGCCGCGUGAGGGAUGACGGCCU